UCAAUGGGUGAUCAAGAAGGCCCAUGGCCUAGGCAAGUGACCUCCAUUGCACUUAGGAGGGGUGCUAGCCUAAGGUCUACCCAAGUGGUGGAGCCUACAUCAUAAUUUGUUGCUGUGGGGGCCUGUGUUCGCGCGGCCCCCUCCCAAUUGAGUUACGAACUUUAAUUUUAGAAGAUAAAUAACAUUGCUCUGGCUGCCUGUGUAUGCA
rnacentral:lncRNA from 1 species